ACAAGGUCAGCUGGAAGGUAUCUACCCUCUAUAAACACUGGACUGAAACGACAGACUGACACUGCCACUGAUGGGUCACAUCUAGGUCCACUGACCCAGAGAGGAUACUCUAACUCAGAACUGAUCAAACCCAAUCUCUCUAUGGCUCUCGAAGCAAUAAAGGAAUGAGAAGCACCGGGGUCCAUCAAAGCAUACACAUCUGAACAC
rnacentral:lncRNA from 1 species